AGUGAACGCUGGCGGCGUGCUUAACACAUGCAAGUCGAACGAGAACGGGUAUUAGUUUACUAAUACUGUCAGCUAAGUGGCGCACGGGUGAGUAAUAUAUAGGUAACGUGCCCUAGAGAAAGGAAUAACAGUUGGAAACGACUGCUAAUGCCCUAUAUGCCUUUAUGACAUAAGUCAGCAAGGGAAAUGCUUUUGUGCUCGAGGAUGGGACUGUAUGGUAUCAGAUAGUUGGUGGGGUAAUGGCCUACCAAGUCAAUGACGCCUAACUGGUUUGAGAGGAUGAUCAGUCACACUGGAACUGAGACACGGUCCAG
rnacentral:rRNA from 1 species